AUGGGCACGGCCCCGAGGCUGCCAGAGCUCCAGGAGCGUUUGGACAGCGCUGCCAGGGAUGCCCAGAAUGGGGUUGUUGGGGUGUCUGGGCAGGGCCGGGGGGGAUUCCGUGAUCCUUGUCCCAUCCAGCUCAGCGUAUUCCGUGAUUCUGUCAUUCUGCAUGGAGCAAAAUGCCUGGAACACUCCUGGGGACACAGCCUGGUGUGGACAGAGGAUGUCCCCCAGUGCCUGCCAUGGUCCCUUUGGCUGCCCCUGUCCUGCUCCCAGUCUCUCCCAGUCACCUGCUGGGGCGUUCCCAGCAGGGCUGACUCAGCAGCUGCAGCCAUGAGCUCCAGUCCCAGCCCCAUGGGGCACUGUCCCUGCCCAGACUCGGACUGUCUGUGUUGCAAAGGCUUGCAGGGGCUCUGGACAGGGACAGGGAGGAAUCCUCAGGAGAACACAGCUUGUACUCGAACUGCUGAGCCACAGUGUCCAAGCAGCUCAGUCCUUCCCGAUCCAUGGCCAGGAUAUCUGCUGAACCAGGCCAUCAGUGGGGCUUCUUCCACACUGCAUUCCCCCUCUCUUGCCUCCAGCUUUGAUGGGAAAGGUCUUGCUGAUGGAAAUGACAUCAGAGCCACAGCACCCCUCCAUGAAGUUUUGAUCCCGGUGAAUCACAGUUAUCCAUUAGCAAAGGAAAAAAAAAAAUCUUUCAAAACCAGUUGGAUGAAAUUCCUCUUCCAUAGAAUCUGUCCACAUCAGGUGUUGCAGCUUGGCAGCAGAGAUGGGGUCCCCCGGAGUGAGGGUCACCACACCUGUGUGUCAGGGACCCAUUUAGGAUGGGACAAAUCCCCACCUGUAGAGGCCUUCGGGAUCCACUUCCCCAUCCACAGGCAGAGGAGCAGCCCCAUCCCCUGUGCAGGAGGGUGGGAAGGGGGAGGGAGGGGCAGAGGAUCAACGCCCUCCCCGUGUGACCAUGACAGGGAGGGGCACAAUCAUCUCAUUGCCAGCUUGGGUUGUCCUUCCAGGUGGACCCGAAAACCUGCAAAAAGGGUUUCUCUUUUGGUUCUGUUCCUGCUUGGAGCUACCAGCCAGCAAUCCCUGGAGACAAAUUCUGGAAUUAAGGAUGAAUGUGGUGUGUUCCCACCGCCGCUGGAGGGGCUGUGGUGCCGCUCCUCUUCAGCGCUGCCAGGGCUCUGCGUGGGGACGCUGCCAGGGGGCAGUGGGUGCUGGGGGGUGCAGCUCUGUGCUGGUGAUGGGGAGCCCAUUCUUCCCAGGGAUUCCAUCCCUCAUCCCUCCUGGCUCCUUGCUGCUGACUUGAUUUCAUUGCUGGCAUCAAUGUCAGGAGCAGGAAAUUGA
rnacentral:lncRNA from 13 species